ensembl:snRNA U1 U1 spliceosomal RNA
AUACUUACCUGGCAGCAGAGCUACCGUGAUCAGGAAGGUGGUUCCCCGUGGUGAGGGCCAUCCAUGGUAUUCCAGAUGUGCUGACCCCUGCAGUUUCCUUAAAUGCUGGAAACUUGACUGCAUAAUUUGUGGUAGUGGAGGACUAUGUUCACAGUCUCCCC